AUACGUAGGGGGCGAGCGUUGUCCGGAAUGAUUGGGCGUAAAGGGCGCGUAGGCGGCCCGGUAAGUCUGGAGUGAAAGUCCUGUUUUUAAGAUGGGAAUUGCUUUGGAUACUGUCGGGCUUGAGUGCAGGAGAGGUAAGUGGAAUUCCCAGUGUAGCGGUGAAAUGCGUAGAGAUUGGGAGGAACACCAGUGGCGAAGGCGACUUACUGGACUAUAACUGACGCUGAGGAGCGAAAGUGUGAGGAGCAAACAGGAUUAGAUACCCUGGUAGUCCACACUGUAAACGAUGAAUGCUAGGUGUAGGGGGUAUCGACCCCUUCUGUGCCGCAGUCAACACAAUAAGCAUUCCGCCUGGGGAGUACGGCCGCAAGGCUAAAACUCAAAUGAAUUGACGGGG
rnacentral:rRNA from 1 species